UCGUGCCACAGUCGGAGGCAGACAUCGGAGCUGCGCGGCUGCGUUGUGCUUGUUUGGGUGUGUGUGCGCGCGUGUGUGUGUAUCUGCACGCAUCAUGCUGCCGCUCGGAUGCUAAUUCCCCGCUCCUGAUUGGACUUAAGAGGACAGCUGGGGUUGUCUUUUUUUAUCGGGGGGGAUCUCUGCCAGGGAAUCAUCACAACAAUAUUAAUAAUAAAAGGUGGGGUGGGGUGUCGGGGAGGGUGGGGGGAUAAUCUUUCAGCACGCUUGAGCGAUGUUCCACGGGAUUCUCUCGGUCACAAAGGCUUUUCCCGCUUGCUAAUGGACCGAUGGAGGAACGUGGCGGCGGCUUGCCAUGUUUGAAUCACAUCUCUGCUUCCCAGACCUUGGUGACCUCAUUCCCUCUCCUCGUGUCCUCAACCAUCCUGUUCAUCCCUGGUCUGUACCUCUGGUUGCUUAAGUCUAUUAACCCUUCUGACGCCUAAAUGAUCUCCUGGACAUCUUCGUUGCUCCGCCGUCGCCCCCUGAGCCCCGCCAUAUUCCGGCAUGUUCCAUCACCGGGGUUGAUUCCCCUUCUACUUUCCUGUUCCCCACCCUCGUCCCAAUCUCCUUUCCUCUGACCCCUUUUUUCCCUAUCAUCCCCUCUACCCAAUUCACCCUCUUUCUCCCAAACACUUUUCCCCUCAUGACCAUGUUGCCAUGUGUCUGCUGGCUCCAGCCUAUCCUUAUGGUGCUGACCUCUGUGUUCUGGACCCGGGGGGAGAACUGCCCAGCAACCUGCCUCUGUCCGGAUCCCCACACGGUGGACUGCAGCGGCCGGGGGCUGAUACACCUCCCAGACGAGAUCCCCCUGGACGUCCGUCGGCUCCUCCUGGCCGACAACUGGAUACCCCGUAUCCCUUCUGACUUCCUGGUUCUGUACAGUGACUUGGUCUAUCUGGACUUGCGGAACAACACGCUCUCAUACAUUGAACCGGGGACCCUCAGCACCUCCUCCAGGCUGGUCUUCCUGGACCUGGGUAGCAACAACUUGACAGAAAUCCCCAAGGGCACAUUCGGGGAGUCCCGGAGCCUCAUUAAGCUGCGACUGGGCAACAACCCCUACCUGAGCAUGGUGAGUGAAGACGCCUUCCUGGGCCUCACCUCGCUCCGGGAAUUGGAACUGGAACGUAAUGCACUGUCGAGCCUCAAGGUGGGCGCGUUAAGUCAGCUGCCCUCCCUGCGGGUAGUGAGGCUCGAGGGCAACCCCUGGGUGUGCAACUGCAACUUUGCCAGUCUGUUUGCGUGGCUCAUGGAGAACAGCCAGAAGCUUCCAAACGGAGUGGAAGGCAUGGAGUGCUCCCUCCCCAUGGACGGCCGUCGCGUGUCCCUGACCCAGCUCUCCAAGGACAGUUUCCGCGAGUGCCAGGCCAGCCUGACUCUAACGGACCUGCUCAUCAUCAUUUUCUCGGGCAUCUCCGUCUCUGUGGUAGCCAUCAUGACCAGCUUCUUCCUGGCUUCCACCGUCCACUGCUUCCAGCGCUGGAGUAAAGGCUCCAAGGGCGACGAGGAGGAGAGCGAGGAGUGACAAGGAUGUACUUUUAUAAAGGGCUCGUAUGAUCCGGAUGUUUCUUGCGUAGACAGGAUUCCACAGAAAAAAGUGUGCGACAUAUUUGUGCUGCCUCCUCUCUGGUGAACGUCCAGGAUUGUUUUACAGAAGGAUCUGGACCUGGUACGGUUGUUGAUUUCCUAGCAAAAGGGCAUCUGACUGUAUGAAAAGUCACUCAUGAGGGAUUAAUAAUAUUAGUGGGCUGCUCAGCUUCACUCAAAACAACUUCACAUUUUUCAAACAUAGCUUAAGUAGCAAUUUGCAUAGUUUGCUGAUAAAACACACACACGCAAACCCUACAGGGGGAAAAAAAAGUGGGGCUGUGUUCACAUCUGUAGCUUGGUACAUUCCGGACCAACGUGUGAUUUUUAUCAUUGGACCAAUGCUUGCACAGUCAAAUAAAAAUAGUCCAAAAAAUAGUGGAAGUAAAUUUUUCAAACCAGCACAGAAAUUUUGCUGUGGGUCGAAUACAUUUUAAUUGUGUAUAUACAGGUGUGUUACAAACGCCGUAUAAUAUGUGGAAAAGUGUUUCAGUAAUUUAACUGAAAACAGGAAACUUGUAUAUCAGGGUCCGGAUUUAGUGAACCCUGCUGUAUAUGUUUCUAUACGUUGACUGCACUUGUUUCAUUAUUUUAUUUCUCAUGAUUAUAGCUUACAGACAACAAACCCCCAUAUCAUGAGCAAGAAAUUGGAUACCAGACACAAAAAAUUAUUGUCAUCAUACACUGUGAAAACAUUUUUUAAUUCAUAGAAAAACUCAAUAGUUUUUUUUUUUAAUAGUCUUUUUCCCACUGAAAAUCAGUUGAAAAAAAAUUACAUUCUUAUUUUACCGUGUAACCGGUCUUGCUGGUGACAUCAUGUCGCACCUUUACCCAUUGUCUCCCCUCUUUGAUCGCACAUCUGCUAUUUUGGCAGUCAAAUGACCAGAGGUCAGACGUUUACUCUGUUACAUUUACUUGGAGGGCUGCAGCUAUCGAUUAUUUUAGUAGUUGAUUAAUUGAUGAACUAGUUCGAAUAAUCGAGUAAUUGGAUAAGGAACAUAAAAAAUUAAAAUACCUGAGCUGAGCCAAAAACUGUAUAAAUAAAUAAAUAAAUAAGGAUCCAUGUACAACAAAAGAACAAUUGGCUAACUUACAUAGCAAAAGUCUGCUAGCUUAAAUGCUAUAAAAUGCUAACGUGUUUUUUUUUUUUUUUUUUUAACAAUACUCCUAACAAAUGGUUCAGACACAUUCCCACAAAAAAGCCUAAAUAUACCUAUAGACUAAAUUAUGAAUGCAUUAAAAAACAUGAGCUCAAACAAAAACUUAGCUUACGUUGGUCUGAACAGGGAGCUGUUGGAUUCAGCCAUUUGAAAUGAGGCAGACCAGAGGGUAGUGUAUCCACCCUAAUCAAUAAAACAAAAUGCAAACACUUUGAAAAUAAACCAUUACAACACGUCUUUAAUUAAACGAAUAUUCGAAGCAAAAAAAUUUAAAUCGAAUAUUUUUUUCUUAUCGAUUUCUCAAGUUAAUCGAUUAAUCGUUGCAGCACUAUUUACUUGGGUAACUUUUUGAGAAAAAUGUACUUCCAAGAGUAGUUUACUAAGCCAUACUUUUUACUUGAGUAGGUUUAUGAAGAAGAAACAAUACUCUUGCUCCCCUACAUUGGGCUAAACUAGUCGUUACAUUUUCUCUAUAUAUUCUACAUAUUAGAUUUUUGCCAGAGACGCAAACAGUGGCUCAACAAGUUUGACCAAUGAGACGUCGCAAUAAUAAUCACAUGACUCCAUUGUACCAAUCAGACUCAAGCUUGGUUUUCUAUGAUCACGCCAACCUGUUCCAUCACGUGGUGUCUUUAAAGCACCAUAAAAAUUAGUGUUUGACAUCAACAUGACUCGAAACCGCAGAUUAUAAUCUCUUUGCCAGUUUUUAUUUGGCACCGAAUGACCACGGAAAACCGGAGAUCCUUUUACUUUCCUAAUAGAAAAUGUUUUCUCCACUGGAGGGAACUCAUGCACUCUGGACUAAUAAUGCUCAAUUUCUGUAGAUUUUUUCCCUCGCCGGAAUACAAUGUUUUUUUAUUGUUGUUUUUUUUUUUUUUUACUUAAUGUGGUUAUGUAAUGUGUUAUAGUACAGUAUAAUAAUGAUAACAGUUCAUUUGGGUAACUGUGCUGAGUAAAAAAUACCAUUGUAAAAAAAAAAAAAAAAAAAAGAUCAAACAUCAACAAAACAAUAUGUAGUUACUCACAUUGUACUCAUUACUUGAUUAUUCUUUUCACGAACUAAAUUUUGGAUGACUGCUUUUACUUGAGUAUUAUUAUUUUGAAGUAACACUACUCUUUCUUGAGUAAAAUAAUAUUUGGCUACCCUACCCAUCUUUGCAAAUGACAGAGCUAGUACAGAUAGUUGGAGUAAGUGCGAUGUGUGUAUACUUUUAGCAAAACAUUACUUCCUGAGUGGUGAAAAGAGUGUACUAGCAGAGGAAACUAAACUGUGCAAUUGGCUCAGGAGUCAGCACGCAUGACUGCCGCAAUAACAACAUAGGUUAAAACUUGGAGAGGGGGAGGAUGCUAAGGACACUCUGAAGACACUUUGAUUCCUAUUCUCUGUGUCUAACAGCUGAACAGGACAGGGUGAAAAAAGUGGAGGGGGAGAAUGAGAAAGGAGGCAUUAUAACGUCACCACCAUCAGACCAAUUACAUGUACAUUUUACAAUUGCUUGAUGUAAAACAGCAGUAAAAAAUGUAGUUCUUUAUCCAGUAAUUUUUUGUUACUUUGACACAUUUUUUAAGUUUUUCAAUUUUUUAAAUGAAACUUGUAUAUUUCUGGCAACCACCACUGCCAGUAAUAUACUGUAUAUUUUUUUUUAUUUUUUUAAAAAAUUUUUUACAUUGCAGAAAUUGGCUAAAAACCAGCUUUGUGAAAAUUGCUUUCCAAUGUGUUUAAAAAAUAUAGUUUGUUUCAGAUUUUCUACAUUAAUUGAUAAGAGUGACCAGUUAAUUGACAUGAAAACAGACAGUGGCUUGAAAUUGAGGGCUAAAAGUGUCAGACAUGUUAGUAAUGUCCCCAUAAAGUAAAGGUAAAUGUCUUCUAAAUUUUGACUAAAAGAGAUCAAAAUGAAGCGCGUUUGUUUGUUUUUUAGUCCACCCAAGCAAGUGUGAACACAACCUUCACCAACAUGUUUUCUGAGGGUUAUUGAGGCUCCGUAGGCUGAUCAUACCCUCUAAAAUAUCCGAAAGAUGUCAUCCAGACCGAUGGCCUCAAUAUUUAUUCUCCCCCUAACCCUUCUGACAUCACAUCCUGUCAUUCCCAUCGUGUAUUUUGCUACCAGGUGAGAUUAAAGGAACAUGUACAGCAGAUAGGCAGAUUCCACAGUAUAUUAUAUAUACUAUGUAGUCACACACGUACGUGCACAAUUAAAACAAGUAUCAUCGUAUAAAUCCAGAGAAUAUACUCUUUCAUUAGCUUGAUGUAGAAAAAUGAACUAGCUCUGAGUAUAAUCCUCACAAUUAGGGCAAAAAAAUGUGGUAUUAUAAAAUGAGUACAUAUACAUCUAUUGUGUCAAUGAAUGCACUUUAAAUGGUGAAUCUAAUUAUGUGACAGCCCUGAUUACACCAUUCUGACUGGUUUUGUCCGCAUCUGCCAAAGAUCAGGUUGAAGCGAAGAGAGCCUUUAGGAUUAAGGUUUUUUAUUUCAUUUAUCUAUUUUUUUCAUAUCAGUGUUUUAGCUCAAUGAGCUAUCUUUGUCAUGUUACUGCCAGGCCACUUCAGGCCCUUAGUCAUCAUGAAAAUUCAUCCAUUUAAGAGCCCUCAUAAUAACCAGUCACUUAAUAAAUCAUCAUUUUCCACGGGAUUGUCGUGCUUUCAAUUCCAAGCUAUAGUGCUCAUGAUUUUACAUCUGAGGAUUGAUUAACUCAUUGGCUGCCAAUGACAGCGAUAGACAUCCGGUCCAUUUUAAUUGGGAGGGAUGGCAGCGAAUGAACAAACGUUCACCACUCUCCUAGUUCAAAUGGAUUAGACGGCUACUAGUGAUAAACUCAUUAAAAGAAAGAGUCAACAAAAAAACUCUGACUAUCUUUCUAUUAAUUCGAAGCUAUGAAGCUAGCUAUUGAUUUUUAACCAAAGUUGGAAUAACUCAUUGGCUACCAUUGACACAAAGCCGUCCAGUCCAUUUGAAGUGGGAGGGUUAGCAGCGAAUUAAUGAAUGGUAAUUUGCUGCCACCCCCAUUGUUUAAACGGAUUGGAUGCCUACUAAUGAUAAACUCAUUUAAAAAACAGUCAAAAAAACAUCUGAUUGUCAUGCUUGCUAUGAGGAUAGCUAAUGAUUUUACAACAGGAGUUUGAAUAACACAUUGACAGCAAUAGAUAUCCGGUCCAUUUUAAUUGGGAGGGUUUGCGGCAAAUGAAUGAAUGUUUACCACUUUCCCAGUUUAAAUGGACUGGACAUCUACUAGUGAUAAACUCAUUUAAAGAAAGAGUUAACAAAAAGUCUUUUGUGCUUUUAAUUCCAAGCAAUGAGACUAGCUAAUGAUUUUGAGUAGCUCAUUGGCUCCCAUUGACACGAUAAACUUUCAGUUCAUUUGUAGUGGGAGGGUUGGCAGCGAAUGUACGAAUGGUCAUUCGCUGCCACCCCCAAUUUCGAAUGGACGUUUACUAGUGAUAAACUCGUAUCAAGAAAGAGUUAAUAAAAAUCUGACAGCCUCAUGCUUCAGUUUUGUGUUUAUCAAGCUUCAAACUCAUAACAUCUUAAGUUAUUCAUUCUAAUUAGUAUUCAAAAUGCAAAUGAGCUGCUUUGAUGUCUAUCCUAAUACAUUUAGAGCUCAAAAAUUCUGUUGACGUUUCAUUUUGUGAGACUUUGCAAAUUGGGUUUUGUAAGAUGCAAAUAAGGGAUUGCUUAUAAUGGUUAGGGCUGGGCAACGAUUAAAAAAUGUAAUCACGAUUAAUAGCAUGAACUUGCAAUUAAUCACAUUGCCAUACAUUCAAAGCCUUAACGAAUGUGGCAAAAUGUUUUGAGACACUUCCUCAUCCUACUGAAUGGUGAAGUUUCUCAAACUGGCCGGGGUUAUAGUAAUACAGUAAUAGUUACAGUAAUAAUAGUCAUACCCCAAUAUGCCCUGACUUCUUCUUCCUAUUGUGUCAGUUCAUAGUUGUAUCCCCUCGGUAAAUUAUUUCAUAAUGCAUUUGUAACACUACUUAUAACCAGGUAGCAUACAGUAAGUAGUAGUAUAUACAGUAGUAGUACUUACAAGUAGAACACGUUAAAUGUGCCAAAAAGACUUACCCUAAUUUUCGGACUAGAAGGCGCACCUGACUAUAAGCCGCCACCCACUAAAUUUUACAUGAAAACAGCAUUUGUUCAUCAAUAAGCUGCAAUGGACUAUAAACCACAACUGUCCUCACUGUAUUAUGGGAUAUUUACACCAAAAAAUAUUAUUUCUAACACUUUGACAGCGACAUCAUCAGACUAUUUUGACAGCAGCAUCAUAAGACUGUCAUAAGACCAAAUGAACCACCAUGAAGCUGUGAACCAAUGGGCUGCAACGCUUCAUUGCUUCAAGAAGCUUAAUUUGGCCAUCACUACUCCCUUGGGGGAGACACUCAACCUCUGCUGCCACCUGCUGUCAACACUGUUGUGGUCCAACAUGCCUCCUACAUGCAUUGCAGCACUUCAGAUGUAAAUAACAAUCAUAACUCAUGAUUUGUGCUAAUUAUUUCUUCAGUUAUAGUUCCAGUUGUUUCAUUAAUUGCUAGUAUUGGUAUUUGGUAACACCUUAUUUGACAGUAGCGCCGUAAGACAGUCAUAAGACCAUCAUAAUUAUGAAAUGACACUGCCAUGAGCAUUAUGAAUGCUUAUGACAGAUGUCCUUUUGUGUCAUCUGGCAAAUGACACUUUUGAAAGGAUGUAAAAGAUCCAAGAUGGACAUACCGUAUUGGCCCGAAUAUAAGACGGUGUUUUUUGCAUUGAAAUAAGACUGAAAAAGAGGGGGUCAUCUUAUAUUCGCGGUCUAGACAUUAUACCCAUUCACGACGCUAAAUGGCGCCAGAUAUCAUUGAAGCGAUGUUCUGUCAUGACAGAUCUCAGCUACGCUCAAGUUUAACCAGUUUGCAUUAUUUUAUUGCAAUGUUUUUCCUGAUUCAGAUUUGUUUCAAGACUACAGUGACAGUUAGACUUCACUUUGAUGGUUAAUACAGUUAUUGCAAUUUUGUUGUUUUAUCACAAUAGGUUGCUUUAUUUACAUUUCAAAAACCAGAAGCCAUUCAUUUACGAAUGUGAUUGAACUUUAGUUUACAUAUUUAAAUGUUCAGAUAUUAAGAUUUGGAUGAGGCAAAAUAACAUGCUUUUUCUCUCAAAUAUAUUGUUAUAAUAAUUUGUUUCGGAUGUACUCUAAUGAUCUUCUGUAUAAAAAUUAAUUUGGUGUUGGAGUCUUGAAAAAGAGGGGGUCGUCUUAUAAUAAUGGCCGUCUUAUAUUCGGGCCAAUACGGUUAUAUGUCAUCAUAAUGGAGCUAGUGACAAAAUUUGCCGGAUGACACUUAUCUAUCAUAAGCAUUCAUUAAUGUCCAUGAUAGUGUCAUGUCAUAAUUAUGACGGUCUUACGGAAGUCUUAUGAUGCUGCUGUCAAAUAAAGUGUUACCUAUUAACCCAAAUAAAUCAACAAAUAAGCCACACUGGACUAUAAGCCGCAGGAUUCAAAGUGAGGGACAAAGUAGCGGCUUACCCCGGUAACACACCAGAAACGUCAACGGCGCGUCAACGAUUCCGCCGCGAUAACGCACAAGUAACACCUCAAUUUCCAUAGGAAGCGUUUUACGAGCAGCGCGUCUGUGGAGCGGCUCGAUCGGUUCACGCGAGGAUUGCAAGAUUAGCAAUUAGAGAGUAUCAGGUAUUUAAAGAUAAUAAUACAAAAACCGUUUGCCUUUCAGACCCAGCAUAUUGGUCAGCUUUCAUUCUGAAAGAAAUAAGAAAAAAGUCUUGUGCACCACGCAGAAAUUAACAAAUUUAAUUGUGUAGCAGGAUUUGUGUAUUAUUCUUAUAAUUUUAUUACAGGUGUUUUCGCUCAUUCCAAUUAAUUUUUUUAUUUGGACUAUUAUUUAUUUUAUUAUGUAUGUUUUAAAAAUGUGAUGUAGUAUUCAUUUAUAUUCUAUAUUUUAUGUUCUUUCAUUUUAGUUCUUAUGUGAAUAUUAGUUCCAACUUGUUUUGUUGUGGUAAGAGGGUUUUGUAUUAAACACGGUGGUAUUGAUGCAUAGAGAUUAACCGCAGAGUUGAUACUCUCCUGCCAUGUUGGUUAUUAUCAUAGCAGAGAAGACUGCAGUAAACCAACAAGUAAACCGUGACCUGAUCUACCCACAGCCUCAAGAGAUCUGAUGGACUCAAAAAGUAAGUUCGAUUGCAUAUUAUUUUGAAAAUCGACCGGAUCCACCGUAUUUUUACAUGAGUGACUUCCAGUAUACCCGAUCCUACCGAGCAGUAUUGACGCAGGAGGUCCGCGUCUCGCGUCAAAACACAAACUCGUUCUUUUCGCGUGCGACACAUUGAGCCGUAUCUGGGAUGCGUCUAACACGCAGCCACACUGGGACUGGUGUGCAUUGGCUGACUGACUUUAACGGCCGCGUUUCACUGCGUUAUCGUGGCCGCAUCGUUCACGCGCCAUUGACGUUUCUGGUGUGUUAACAGGGUCAUAGUGCGAAAAUUACAUUAACUUUUGGGUUGAUGGCUCAGAUGUAGAUCCACAACUAAGAUAAUUUUGUCAAUUAAUUUGUGAGUUAACAAGUUAACUUGCCCAGCCUUAAUAUUCGUGAAUAGAUGGGUGCUAACCAAUCCACAAGAAGCAGAUAUUUUUGACAAAAAAAAAAAACAUCAAAAAUCCAGUCCCAUGCUAAUGUUGUCUUCAUAGUUGACUGAAAGUUCUCAGGCUUACAGUGUGAAUGUCACGACAGUCAACGUUUCGAGGUUACUAACAUUGUGGAAUAUAUUAAUUUGCAGAACGCCAGAAGAACACGCCAAGUGGCAAAAGAAGGCACAUUGUGUUUCUGCCGUGCAUCAUGUUGUAGCAUUUAAUAUUGUAUGUUUAGCAUACAAAUAUUUACUGUAUUUGACAUUGCUACUGCAUUAGCAAAAGUUGAGCAUAGGCUGUUUUUGUCUGGAUUUUGUAUUUAAUCGAGAGCCCCUGAGUACUCCUUACAAUUCCAAUAUGGCAGCUCAUUUUCUUUACAUUUGUGAAAUUAUGUCAACUUCUACAAUUACUGCCAGGAGAAAAUUGGACAAAUAGUGAGUAGUGAACACCUCCCCGUUCAAAUGUUUAUAGUUUCCUAUCGAGUCCAUAAAAUGGUGGGAAGCACUACAUGAAGCUUCUGUAACAGUUUUAAACAUCACAGUACAUAAUAAUUGGUCACUCGUCCUGGUUCAUAUUUUCCAGAAUUGAGUGGCACAGAAUCUAAAGCCAUCGAGUGUUUUACUCCCUCCUUCAACAGCAGCAAGAAUUCAAGAGUGACUUUUUUUAAAUACAUAUCAUUAUGGGUUUCAACUACUGUGUAGUUGCUGUAUUGACAAACUCAUACGUUGGCUUAGCUCUUCAAUGUCGACGCAUACGCUCGCAUGACAUGAUUUUAUUUCUCUCGCAAACACCGGUACAUUAGAGCAUGCACUAACUACUUUUAGAUUCAUGUCUAUUUUUAUAUCAAACCUUUCAGAACGGAGUCUUUAUUUACUGCCAGACCCCCAAGGGUCAGUGUUGACUUUGAACCCCAAUGGCCACCUCUCGCAUACAGCUUUGUCAGAUGCAUAUUGAAGAUGCCCUAUCUUAAAAGGAGGUGACCAGUCAGAGUCAAACGGAGAUUAUUUGAACAGCAAUGACCGUGACGAUGUUGUUGCACAUGAAUGCAUUUCGAAAUGUCAAACACGUCAUAUGUGUAGCUGUAUUUUCUUGUUUGGUUAAAAAACAAAAAUAAAUACCUUUUUUUUUGUCAUCUUGUCUCCUGUAUGUAUGACCCACCAUUCUUUUUCUAACGAACCAUUUUGGCCGUUUUGGCUCCAUAAAAUGAUGAUAAUGCUUUUACCCCAAGCUUUACUCACAUUAAGUUCCAUGGACAUAAAUAUAUAUGGCGGAAAACACUCAGGUGACUUGAACCCCCAAUUUGGCCAAAUUUCAAAAUUGUCCGAUAUGCAUGUGUGAUACAUCAUUGGAAAGCUUAAAAUCUCAAUUUUCUGGGAGAAGAAUUUUUUUGAACGAAAGGGCAUUUAAAAAAAAAUAAUAAAAAUUUAAACAGCAAAAGCCGAACUGGAGGCGAGAGCACGCGAGAGCAGAAUUAAAGACGCCACGAUUUUAACGAGAUAUUAUCGCACACUUACCAUGUUUCGACCCAAAAACUCCAUGUAGUAUGUAUCACCGAGUGUCGAGACACAGCUGUUAAUGGCCACAGUCGGAUUUUUAUUUUAUUUUAUGGGCGAAACAUGGUGAUAUAACAGGUGUCACGAUGCAGAAAUCGCAGACAUCAAUGAGUGGUCGAGAUUUUCUUUUCCAUAUAGUUACCCUUUUAAACCUUAUUUUUAAUGUUUUUCUUUAUUUGGAUGGAUUAUUUAUCAUCUAGUAUAUUGUGGACAGUAACAAAAAAAAAAAAAAAUACAAGUAAUCGAUAGUUAUGAGGUAGAUGUCCGUGACUUUUUUACAGACGCCAUUUUUCUCAUUGUGACAUAAUUUGUUUAAAAGUUUAAAGUAUGUGAGUGAAUAAUUUUUUUGAGUCGAUUUUUUUUUUUUUUAAACAAAAUGUGAGACAUCAAUUAAUGAUCCUAAGCUAAAAACUACAGACAUUUUGAAUGAAAAAUAUAAUUAAUUACCUUUGUUUUAUGGCUGGGUUGAAACAAAAGCGGUUGCGCAAUGUCUGUAAACGGGGGUUUUCAGGAUAAAACGGACAGAUUAAAAAUACUUGGGGGGGCUUAAUGCGCCAUGAAUCUGCUAUGGCAGCAUAUAGACAUAUUGUUCUAUCAAACACAACAGUUGUUUUGGCUUAAAAUACAGCAGUUUCCUUUACAGAGGAGUGCAAGAGCAGAAACUGCUUUUU